AUAUAUAUAUAUAUAUAUAUAUAUUGAGAGAAAGAGAAGAAAAGAGAUUGUUAAAUAAAUUAUGAAAAUCUUCUCAGACCAAAUCCAGAAGGCUUAUUAAAAAGAACGUUGAUAAAUCCUAGGAAUAAUUCCUUAUAAGAAUAAUCGAUAUUUAUUGAGGACUAUUGAGAAGAGAUAUGGAGAGAAGUAUGUAAUCACAUAAUGUUAAUGUAGAAAAGAUAAGAAAUAAAAUUGAGUACUGAAAGGAA